rnacentral:rRNA from 1 species
GCGGUACCUGGCGGCGUGCUAUACAUGCAAGUCGAGCGAACAGAUAAGGAGCUUGCUCCUUUGACGUUAGCGGCGGACGGGUGAGUAACACGUGGAUAACCUACCUAUAAGACUGGGAUAACUUCGGGAAACCGGAGCUAAUACCGGAUAAGAUUUUGAACCGCAUGGUUCAAUAGUGAAAGACGGCCUUGCUGUCACUUAUAGAUGGAUCCGCGCCGUAUUAGCUAGUUGGUAAGGUAACGGCUUACCAAGGCAACGAUACGUAGCCGACCUGAGAGGGUGAUCGGCCACACUGGAACUGAGACACGGUCCAGACUCCUACGGGAGGCAGCAGUAGGGAAUCUUCCGCAAUGGGCGAAAGCCUGACGGAGCAACGCCGCGUG